UACAUCCGGCAGACAGGUGAGCGAGAGAGAAACCAGUAUCGCUUCCACCGCGUCCUCUCCUGGCUAAUGGACAAUGAGUCCUGUCGGUCUUGCGGAGCUUCUCGCUUUCAACCAGGAGUCUCCACUGCGGCUGCGGUCUCACCUGGACUCUCUCGCUAGCCUGCAGGUAGCUGCCGUCACUUUGCAGCUAAACCUGGCGUUUGAUAGAGGAACGUCGUGGUGUCUGUGUCCGUGAGCGGUUUCACGUGUCAUCGGCAGCAGUCUCACCUGCGCAGGUAGUCAGACAGGUGGAGCAGGAUCCGCGGCAUUCCUCCCACCCUCAGCGGAGACAUGCGGCCGCCUGUGGGGGUUUAAAACUUUUGCAGGAGGGUCAUUAAUUUUACGAGAGGAACUUUGAGAGAGAGACUUCAGCAGAUCUACUUCUGUUUUCUGUUGAAACACACCAGUGCUUUAUGAAAGCGACUUAUUGUGUCUCCUGCUUGUCACGACAUUAGUGGUGCUCCACUGGUAUACCAUCUACUUGGUCCAGAUGUAAGAUUAAAGGCAGCACAGCCCUCAUAAACGCUUCGGAUUCUCCGUUAAGGUGUUGCAUAACGCAGUUGUCGAUCCUACCUGCAAUGUCGGCGUCUGUUUUCAGCUUGUUCUCCCUGCUCACGUUGGUCCUGCUGCUCUUGUUGUGCGUCAUACGGAAGAAAAGAAAGAUGGAGGGGAAGUACAGACCCAGCGCAGAGGAGAAGAGACAAUCGCGAGCAACCGCACCCGAGAGGCCCAGGCUGCCUUUACCGUUACCCAAAGAAGAGCGGCUCAUAUAAAGAGACAUGGAUUAAAUACCCUUGAUGUUACCCUGGUGUGUGUGUGUAUCAGGAUCCACUGGUGAUCCAGGAUCCAUUGUGUAUCAGGAUGAGAAUACAUCCAAUACAUACAUACAUACAUAAUGAGAAUGCAUCUGAUUAAAUGAAGGAAUCACAUGGAGCUGCAAGAGGCUGAAGGUGACAGUUUAUGAUGUUAUUAUCAAUGUUAUUAUCAAUGUUUUCAGAUCAUGUAAACACCUUUUUGUUCCAUCCUGGGUGAAAACAAAUGGACUGAUUGAUUCUGUCACUUGUCUCACAGAGGGAAGAGAAGUGGAGAGUUUAUUUAAACAUUACUCGCUUUUUCUACCACUAAAAUAUGAGCUGCAGUGUAUUUUGUAUUUAAAUGCGCAUUAAAAUAUUUUUUAUGUUUUGCAUAUUUGUUUUCCUAAGAUACUAAGUGGAAUGCACUUUUUAUGUAUCGUAUUCAAAGGCUUAAUGUCGAACAAGUGUGCACACAUGGUGGGUAAGGUGUCUGAUUAAAACCACUGUGUGCAAAUUAA